rnacentral:rRNA from 1 species
CGGCGAACGGGUGAGUAACACGUGGGCAACCUGCCCAAAAGAGGGGGAUAACACUUGGAAACAGGUGCUAAUACCGCAUAACCAUAGUUACCGCAUGGUAGCUAUGUAAAAGGUGGCUAUGCUACCGCUUUUGGAUGGGCCCGCGGCGCAUUAGCUAGUUGGUGGGGUAAAGGCUUACCAAGGCAAUGAUGCGUAGCCGAACUGAGAGGUUGAUCGGCCACAUUGGGACUGAGACACGGCCCAAACUCCUACGGAAGGCAGCAG